rnacentral:misc_RNA from 1 species
AAUUUUUGCACAGAAUCCAAAAGUAAGCUUCUGCUCGCUCCUCUUUGUCUCUCUCUAAACCAAUUAGCAUCAAUCGCACGCGAGGAAGUGCUUACGCAAUUAGAUAAAAAAUUUUCAAAUCCACUUGCUACCUUUGAAAAUUUUGAAAUCCCUAAUCUGUUCCCACUCCAAUCGAGCNNNNNNNNAGCUUUGUGUCGUCUCACGAUCCCACAUCCUCCAUCGUUGUUUCUCCGUCUUUACUUCGCUUGGC